UACGUAGGGUGCAAGCGUUAAUCGGAAUUACUGGGCGUAAAGCGUGCGCAGGCGGUUUUGUAAGUCUGUCGUGAAAUCCCCGGGCUCAACCUGGGAAUUGCGAUGGAGACUGCAAGGCUAGAAUCUGGCAGAGGGGGGUAGAAUUCCACGUGUAGCAGUGAAAUGCGUAGAGAUGUGGAGGAACACCGAUGGCGAAGGCAGGUCUCUGGGCUAUAACUGACGCUCAUGCACGAAAGCGUGGGGAGCAAACAGG
rnacentral:rRNA from 1 species